AUGGGGGAUGCGACCAUGGAGACCAUCGGCGCUUUCGGUAGCACGUUCAGCCACUGUGUCGAGCUGGCUCUGAGUCCCAAGGGAGUUCCCUACGAGCUCGCACUAGAAGACCUGGGCAACAAAAGUGAGUUGCUGCUGACCCACAACUCCGUCCACAAGAUGGUCGCCGUGCUCCUCCACGAUGGUCGGUCCAUCCGUGAGUCGCUCUUCAUCGUCGAGUAUGUGGACGAGGCCUUCCACGGGCCGCCACACCUGCCGGCCGACAUCCACAACCGCGCCACCUCCCGCUUCUGGGCUCACUUCAUCGAUCAAAAGGCCAAGGAGAAGGCGAUGGAUGCGACUCGGCUGGCGAAGCUCAGGCGCCAGCAUGACUGGGCCGUUCAGCGCCUCAAGGGCCUCAUCAUCGUCUCCUCCUCCUUCUCCUUGUCCGACUACCACGGCUUCUCGUUGGAAGAAUCAGACGAUGCUCCACCAGCCGCCGACGGCUACAGCUGCGCCGGCGACCGGGAUGGGAAAGGGACGGCUCGGAAGUGGAGUCCUCUACAAACUCCUUAUGAGCUGUUGCUGGAGCACAACCCCAUCCACAAGGUGUAUGUGCUUCCCCAUGGUAGAAAGGCCUUCUGCGAGUCUCUAGUCAACAUCAAGCACUUCGACGAGGCCUUCGACACGCACCCAUCCUGCCAACCGACCUCCAUGAGUGGAUCGACGCUCGCUUCUGCUCCAAGUUCUUCACGGAAAAGUGGCUAUGUUGUUGCUCUUGCUGAAGUUAUGGAUAUACGGGGAGGCGCAGAAGGAACUUGGAAGGAAGAAAGAACAGGGGAGCAGGCCGGGAAGUUAAUCGGCGCUUUCGGUAGCCCUGACUCUCAAGGGAGUUCCCUACGAGCCCAUCCUACAAGACUAGAGCAACAAGAGCGAGCUGCUGCUGCUGACUCACAGCCCCGUCUACCAGAUAGUCCCCGUCCUCCUCUCGGAGUCUCGGAGUCGCUCGUCAUCAUCGAGUACGUCGACGAAGCCUUGGACGGACCGCGCCACCGCCCACUUCUGGGCUCACUUUGCGCGGCCGUUCUGGAUGUCCUUCUGGCCGACGGCGGAUGGCGGCGAGGAGCAGAAGGAGGGAUCCGUGAAGGAGGCCAAGGGAAACCUACUGCUUCUCGAGGGGCAGCUGAAGGGGAAGUGCUUCUUCGGCGGCGACGCUAUGACCUCGUGGGGUUCGCCGCCGGCGUGUUGGCGCACUGGCCGAGCGCCUUCGUGGAGAUGUGCGGGGUGACGCUGGUGGCCGACGAGGACUUCCCCGGUCUCUGCCGCUGGGCGAAGGCGUACGUCCAGGAGGAGCACGUGAAGCGGUGCCUGCCGGACAGGGGCGCGCUGCCGCGCUGGUCGCCACGUUCUCCGCCUGCAGGGAGAUGUUCCGGUGCAUCAGAAGUGAUCCAUCUAUGCGGUCUCACUCUCAAGUCCUCGGUGCGAGAAAUAUGGUUCCGAGCUGUGGACUAUAUGUUCGACAUGCUGGCAAGCCUCCUUCUCCGCUUUGCUCCAUGCUCUGCUUUGCUGACGAUGCAACACAGUACACAUGUGUUUUGCUCUGCUUUGUACUCAAGGAUGGUGUCACUAUUUCUCCUUGCUCUGUUUUUCUUUAUCAGCUUCGCCGUCAAGAUUCUUUUUGUCAACUUGCUAUCAAGAAACUUUGAUGAUGGAUGA
rnacentral:rRNA from 1 species